ensembl:lncRNA
AAGGAAUCUGCUUGUGUUACACAGGAUUACAGGUUCAUAACAUUUCUAUUUAUUUAUUUUUUUCACUAAUUCAUUUACCAUCAUUUACUAUUUAAUUAUCAUUUACUCUCUCUCUCUCUCCCUCUCUCGCUCUCUCUCUCUCUCUCUAUAUAUAUACACACACACACACACACACACACACAUAUAUAAUUGUGAUAUGAAUUCUAUUGCUUGUUAUACAAAUUAUUUGAAGCAUUAUGAACUGUUACUAAAGUUCAAUCUAAUGCCUGUGUAAAAUAUCAUAUAAAUGUGGGGCCAUGACCGGACUCUCUUUUCAGCAGGAGGUGGGACAGAGAGACCAGAUGUCCCUGUGUGUGCAGGGCUGCCAAGUGAGGCUAGGGCAGUGAAGCCCGAGACACAAGAGCCCAAAUGGUGUGACAAAGGAGGAGCAGGAAGCCUGGCUCUGCCUGGAUGAACCUCAGAGAGCGCCAGUCCACAUCCACAUCCCAGCCCCAACCCUCGGCCCACGUCCCACAACCCCAUUGAACUACUAGAGCAGGGCCGUGGACCAUGUGCUGACUUUUUUGCUGGACCACACAACCAUACACAUGAUCACAGGAGUGUAAACGCUGAUAUAUGAAUACUAGAGGAUAAGUGUGCAGAGAUUAAGCAGAAAGCUCACACACAUGCACAGGCCCUUUUCUCCACUAUGCUGGAGUUCCAAAGGUUGGAGAAGCUGGUUUUUGGAGGUCUCAGAGGAAGGGUUUACACUGAGCAGGUCUCUCGACUACAUACAGAGUUUCUCCAGCUCUGCAAAACCAUAAGGGAUCAAGAAUACAAUCCAUCUGACCUGACUGCUCAGAUUUUUCAGGAUUGGAAUCAGUUUUCAAAGUAAGCAGUUCUGGUGAGACCGAUUUAGUUAAAAUGAAAAGGAAAAAGCAUAAAAUAGCUUAAGCUAUAUAACCUUAUAACCUAUAUGAUCUUUCAAUCGGUAUGUGUUUUAAGCUGGUCGCUGUGCUCAAAGCCCUCUUGGAAAGAGACAUCAUAAAGGAAACAUUUACUCCCAAUUUCUCCAAAUUGAUUAAGCUUUUUGGAGAUGAGCUGGACAAAGGCAAACAACUGCUUGAUUCUCAUCUUGAGCAGGUAAAGUAGUUGUUUUUGAACAGAAUUUUGUUCUUGUUCAAAAAGGACGUUGUGUAAUUCAU